UUUAAUAAUAUUCUAGCUUUCGACUAAGAUUCAGUCAUCAUCAGGAAAUGAUGAUGACUGAAUCUUAGUCGAAAGCUAGAAUAUUAUUAA
rnacentral:miRNA from 1 species